rnacentral:rRNA from 1 species
UACGUAGGGGGCAAGCGUUGUCCGGAAUUAUUGGGCGUAAAGAGCGUGUAGGCGGUCCGGUAAGUCCGCUGUGAAAGUCGGGGGCUCAACCCUCGAAUGCCGGUGGAUACUGUCGGGCUAGAGUGCGGAAGAGGCGAGUGGAAUUCCUGGUGUAGCGGUGAAAUGACGCAGAUAUCAGGAGGAACACCUAUUGCGAAGGCAGCUCGCUGGGACGUAACUGACGCUGAGACGCGAAAGCGUGGGGAGCAAACAGG